ACUGUGGGUUGAGGUAUAAGAGGUGGACUGUGGGUUGAGGUAUAAGAGAGGGACUGUGGGUUGAGGUAUAAGAGAUGGACUGUGGGUUGAGGUAUAAGAGAGGAACUGUGGGUUGAGGUAUAAGAGAGGAACUGUGGGUUGAGGUAUAAGAGAUGGACUGUGGGUUGAGGUAUAAGAGAUGGACUGUGGGUUGAGGUAUAAGAGAGGAACUGUGGGUUGAGGUGUAAGAGAUGGACUGUGGGUUGAGGUAUAAGAGGUAUAAGAGAUGGACUGUGGGUUGAGGUAUAAGAUAUGGACUGUGGGUUGAGGUAUAAGAGAUGGACUGUGGGUUGAGGUAUAAGAGAUGGACUGUGGGUUGAGGUAUAAGAGAGGAACUGUGGGUUGAGGUAUAAGAGAUGGACUGUGGGUUGAGGUAUAAGAGAUGGACUGUGGGUUGAGGUAUAAGAGAUGGACUGUGGGUUGAGGUAUAAGAGAUGGACUGUGGGUUGAGGUAUAAGAGAUGGACUGUGGGUUGAGGUAUAAGAGAUGGACUGUGGGUUGAGGUAUAAGAGACGAACUGUGGGUUGAGGUAUAAGAGACGAACUGUGGGUUGAGGUUUAAGAGAUGGACUGUGGGUUGAGGUAUAAGAGAUGGACUGUGGGUUGAGGUAUAAGAGAUGGACUGUGGGUUGAGGUAUAAGAGAUGGACUGUGGGUUGAGGUAUAAGAGAUGGACUGUGGGUUGAGGUAUAAGAGAUGGACUGUGGGUUGAGGUAUAGGAGAUGAACUGUGGGUUGAGGUAUAAGAGGUAUAAGAGUUGGACUGUGGGUUGAGGUAUAAGAGAUGGACUGUGGGUUGAGGUAUAAGAGAGGAACUGUGGGUUGAGGUAUAAGAGAUGGACUGUGGUUUGAGGUUUAAGAGAUGGACUGUGGGUUGAGGUAUAAGAGAGGAACUGUGGGUUGAGGUAUAAGAUAUGGACUGUGGGUUGAGGUAUAAGAGAUGGCGACAGAGGAGAGAAAUGCCGUGAAGAUGUUGGGGACCAGUCUUCCCUGAGUGGUGAGAUAAAGAAGUUUGAGGGUUUUGUAAAGCCUGUAAUGGAACAUUGUAGAGUUGAGGUGUUUCUGCUGAACUCAUUGUCCUAUUUAGCCUGGGUCCCUGAGAGACCCUUGUUGUUGAACUCAUUGUCCUAUUUAGCCUGGGUCCCUGAGACCCUUGUUGUUGAACUCAUUGUCCUAUUUAGCCUGGGUCCCUGAGAGACCCUUGUUGUUGAACUCAUUGUCCUAUUUAGCCUGGGUCCCUGAGAGACCCUUGUUGUUGAACUCAUUGUCCUAUUUAGCCUGGGUCCCUGAGAGACCCUUGUUGUUGAACUCAUUGUCCUAUUUAGCCUGGGUCCCUGAGAGACCCUUGUUGUUGAACUCAUUGUCCUAUUUAGCCUGGGACCCUGAGAGACCCUUGUUGUUGAACUCAUUGUCCUAUUUAGCCUGGGUCCCUGAGAGACCCUUGUUGUUGAACUCAUUGUCCUAUUUAGCCUGGGUCCCUGAGACCCUUGUUGUUGAACUCAUUGUCCUAUUUAGCCUGGGUCCCUGAGAGACCCUUGUUGUUGAACUCAUUGUCCUAUUUAGCCUGGGUCCCUGAGAGACC